AAUCUUCAAUCGGAUUUUGCAAAUGCUUUAUGAAACAUGUUUCCCUUUUAUGCAGAUAUGCAAUGGCAAGCCCUUCCGUGUGUUCCAAAGACAAUGCCUACACCUAGCUACAGCAGCUCCCUCAUACAGACUCCACAAGCCAAGAGGCCGUGGAGGCAAAUGCAGCCAGCACACCCCGAACAGCCACCUUGACUGCGGGUGUGUCACCCUAGUCGCCAAGGAAACAUUUGAGGGAAAGCGACAGGCAAUGUGAACAGCCAAUUCUCCAUGUAAACAAUACUCUUUCUCUCCGAUGACUCCUACGCCUCGCCACGCCAGCACACUUGUGCACAAAGAUGCUGCGGAGGCACGUGCAGCUCAGAGGCAAGAAGCAGUGGCACUGGUGUCGACAUUCACCCACUUUCUUUUUCUUACACUGAGGCAGCCAGCACACCUCGAACAGCCACCUUGACUGGAUUCCUGUUGUACAUAUGCUCAUAAUAAACAUCAGUAAACUUGAACUUGAUAAUAAACUUGAAGGCAAAUGGGA
rnacentral:lncRNA from 1 species